rnacentral:rRNA from 1 species
GGGCUGUAAACCUCUUUUAUCAAGGAAGAAGAUCUGACGGUACUUGAUGAAUAAGCCACGGCUAAUUCCGUGCCAGCAGCCGCGGUAAUACGGGAGUGGCAAGCGUUAUCCGGAAUUAUUGGGCGUAAAGCGUCCGCAGGCGGCUUUUUAAGUCUGUUGUCAAAGCGUGGAGCUUAACUCCAUUUCGGCAAUGGAAACUGGGAGGCUUGAGUGUGGUAGGGGCAGAGGGAAUUCCCGGUGUAGCGGUGAAAUGCGUAGAU